rnacentral:rRNA from 1 species
CACGUAGUUAGCCGGUGCUUUUUCUGCAGGUACCGUCACUUUCGCUUCUUCCCUACUAAAAGAGGUUUACAACCCGAAGGCCGUCAUUCCUCACGCGGCGUUGCUGCAUCAGGCUUUCGCCCAUUGUGCAAUAUUCCCCACUGCUGCCUCCCGUAGGAGUCUGGGCCGUGUCUCAGUCCCAGUGUGGCCGGUCACCCUCUCAGGCCGGCUACCCGUCGUCGCCUUGGUGAGCCAUUACCUCACCAACAAGCUGAUAGGCCGCGAGUCCAUCCCCAACCAAAAAACUCUUUCCACCACCAGACCAUGCGGCCGGCAGUCAUAUCCAGUAUUAGACGUCGUUUCCAACGCUUAUCCCAGAGUCAGGGGCAGGCUACUCACGUGUUACUCACCCGUUCGCCACUAAUCCACCCAGCAAGCCGGGCAUCAUCGUUCGACUUGCAUGUGUUAAGCACGCCGCCAGCGUCGUCCUGAGCCAGGAGUCAACUAC